rnacentral:tRNA from 1 species
GCCGAAGUGGUGAAAUUGGUAGACACGCUAUCUUGAGGGGGUAGUGACCUUUGGUCGUGCCGGUUCAAGUCCGGCCUUCGGCACCA